GCCAGCUCCCAAGCUGCAUAGGGUGCAGGGGCUUGUGCUGCAGAAGCCUGCCCAGCCUCCUCCCAGAAGAACAGGAGAGCUGGAGGACAACUGUGGAACAGCUGGAGGAUGUGACACUCCGGACACCAGGGCAGUUUCAAGCAAUCUCCACUUCACCAAUCAAGCACUGUAGUCGGCAGUGAUCCAAAUCCCCACUUUGCUAAAAGAAGCAGGAAGAGAAAGGAAAGAGGAGGAGGAUCUACUGAAAUUGGG
rnacentral:lncRNA from 1 species